rnacentral:lncRNA from 1 species
UGUUUGUCCAAAUAGAGAGGUUGUUUUGUUUGUGGCAAGCUGGGCCACAGACUUAGAAAGUGCUUGUAUGCUAGGCAGGGGAACAAAGAUGUUCGACCUCAGACUUGGGCUACUAGUGCACCAGUUCUUUUAGCCCAUCCAGCUUUUCCUCAGGGCGCUUUAUCCAGUACUGGUGGUGAACAGCGCCUAAAUAAUUUCUAUGCCUUACCAUCCCG